rnacentral:rRNA from 1 species
UACGUAGGGUGCGAGCGUUAAUCGGAAUUACUGGGCGUAAAGCGUGCGCAGGCGGUUCGUUAUGUCCGAUGUGAAAGCCCCGAGCUCAACUUGGGAAUGGUAUUGGAAACUGGCGGGCUGGAGUGUGGCAGAGGGGGGUGGAAUUCCACGUGUAGCAGUGAAAUGCGUAGAGAUGUGGAGGAACACCGAUGGCGAAGGCAGCCCCCUGGGCCA